GUUACGCGAGACCUUACCUACCCUUGACAUGCCAGGAACCCGCUAGAGAUGGCGGGGUGCCCGAAAGGGAACCUGGACACAGGUGCUGCAUGGCUGUCGUCAGCUCGUGUCGUGAGAUGUUGGGUUAAGUCCCGCAACGAGCGCAACCCUUGCCAUUAGUUGCUACAUUCAGUUGGGCACUCUAAUGGGACUGCCGGUGACAAACCGGAGGAAGGUGGGGAUGACGUCAAGUCCUCGUGGCCCUUAUGGGUAGGGCUUCACACGUAAUACAAUGGCGCAUACAGAGGGCUGCAAACCCGCGAGGGGGAGCCAAUCCCAAAAAGUGCGUCGUAGUCCGGAUUGUUCUCUGCAACUCGAGAACAUGAAGUCGGAAUCGCUAGUAAUCGCGGAUCAGCAUGUCGCGGUGAAUACGUUCCCGGGUCUUGUACACACCG
rnacentral:rRNA from 1 species